GAUGAACGCUGGCGGCGUGCCUAAUACAUGCAAGUCGAGCGAACAGACGAGGAGCUUGCUCCUCUGACGUUAGCGGCGGACGGGUGAGUAACACGUGGAUAACCUACCUAUAAGGCUGGGAUAACUUCGGGAACCCGUAGCUAAUACCGGAUAAUAUAUUGAACCGCAUGGUUCAAUAGUGAAAGACGGUUUUGCUGUCACUUAUAGAUGGAUCCGCGCCGCAUUAGCUAGUUGGUAAGGUAACGGCUUACCAAGGCGACGAUGCGUAGCCGACCUGAGAGGGUGAUCGGCCACACUGGAACUGAGACACGGUCCAGACUCCUACGGGAGGCAGCAGUAGGGAAUCUUCCGCAAUGGGCGAAAGCCUGACGGAGCAACGCCGCGUGAGUGAUGAAGGUCUUCGGAUCGUAAAACUCUGUUAUUAGGGAAGAACAAAUGUGUAAGUAACUAUGCACGUCUUGACGGUACCUAAUCAGAAAGCCACGGCUAACUACGUG
rnacentral:rRNA from 1 species